CGGGGUGAGUGACGCGUGGGUAACCUACCCUGUACACACGGAUAACAUACCGAAAGGUAUGCUAAUACAGGAUAAUAUAUUUGAGAGGCAUCUCUUGAAUAUCAAAGGUGAGCCAGUACAGGAUGGACCCGCGUCUGAUUAGCUAGUUGGUAAGGUAACGGCUUACCAAGGCGACGAUCAGUAGCCGACCUGAGAGGGUGAUCGGCCACAUUGGAACUGAGACACGGUCCAA
rnacentral:rRNA from 1 species